CCCUCAUUUGGUAUAGUAAUAGAGGCAUAUAGGUUUUGGUUUCUAUUGCAGGAUUUCAGUCGUAAAUAAGAGAGAACAUUCUGACAAAGGUUAUGGAAUGAUAACUUGGAUAACAAACAGAACCUUAGAAUCAUUUGCCUAGCAAGUUCUAAAAGUGUGCUUUUAAAAAUUAUUUUAAAGAGUCAGCCAGGAUAGUCAAGGUAGGUAUCAAAAUCAUAAUAAAUAGCAUUUCCAAGUUUCAUCAAGUUCACUACUAUAAUUAGGUGCAUUGUCUCUAAGACUUCUGUUUUUAAAAGUGACAGAGUAGCUUGUAUCAAACCAACUCACUGACCAAGAAAACCUGUAAAAGCUGGAUAGAAAACAACAAAAAUGACAACACAACAUCCAUGGUUGUUGCAAACAUUAGCCAUCAAAAAAGACAGCCCAACUUGAGAGGUCAGUAACACUAGGAGAAGAAAAAUGUAUUGAGGUGGGUGGGCACAUUUUUCAUCGCUUCUUUCUCUCCAGAACAGUAACAACCUGGAGCUUUAAGCAGUCCCACACGGUUAUGGAAACAAAAACUCCAAUUAAGAGCUAUCAAAGCAGGCAAAUCCUGGAGAACAAAGGAGCCACAGAGAAGUGGUAAAACCAUUGUUAAUUUUCGGUGGAGGAGCCAAGAUGGCCGAAUAGGAACAGCUCCGGUCUACAGCUCCCAGCGUGAGCGACGCAGAAGACGGUGAUUUCUGCAUUUCCAUCUGAGGUACCGGGUUCAUCUCGCUAGGGAGUGCCAGACAGUGGGCGCAGGCCAGUGGGUGCACGCACCGUGCGUGAGCCGAAGCAGGGCGAGGCAUUGCCUCACCUGGGAAGCGCAAGGGGUCGG
rnacentral:lncRNA from 1 species